rnacentral:lncRNA from 1 species
CACACUGUCUUCUGCAAUGGAUGAACUAAUUUACACUCUCAACAACAGUGUAUAAGCAUUCCUUUUGCUCUGCAACCUCACCAGACAUCUGGACGCGCAUGAAAUUUGGUGCCGUGACUCGGAUCGGCGGACCUCCCUUAGGAGAUCAAUCCCCUGUCCUCCUGCUCUUUGCUCCAUGAGAAAGAUCCACCUACGACCUAAGGUCCUCAGACCAACCAGCCCAAGAAACAUCUCACCAAUUUCAAAUCCGAAAUCCUUCAUCUAAUCUGGCAAACACAUGUGGC